rnacentral:rRNA from 1 species
AUGAAUAACUCCAAAAUAUCCAUCUGUUCGUGGAAUGUAAGAGAGUGUGGGGAUGAAUCAAAAUGUGGUGAUGUAUUAUCUGAAUUAAUCGCUAUAAACCCUCACUGCGCUCUUUUACAAGAAUCAAAACUUAACCAGAUAGACGAUCGAAAAUUCAUCUACUUUCUGCCAUGAUCUCUAGACCAAAGAACAUUUCUUCCUGCUGAUGGAUCUGCAGGUGGCAUUAUCUCGCCAGCCAACUCUGGCCAUCUCAACGUUCUAUCCUAUAUGCAUCAUAACUUCGCCACUUCCCUCAAAGUUUCCUCUCUCGCUCACCCGUCAAACUUUGUCUUCACUAAUGUCUACGCUCCCUCCUCUCGCCCGCUUAAACAAGCCUUCCUCGACGAAUUCAAACAAAUUAAACAGGAUGAUCACACGCCCUGGCUAAUUGUUGGGGACUUCAACCUCCUUCGCUUCUCCCAUUAGAAAAAUAAUCCAAACUUUCAUCAACAAGAAGCCGAUGCCUUUAACGCCCUAAUAAACAACCUAGCCUUACAACUACCCCUCUUAGACCGCAAAUUUACUUGGACCAAUAAUAGACCCUCCCCUACACUUGAACGGCUAGACCGAGCUUUCAUCAAUCUAACAUGGAACUCCCACUUCCCAAACACAACUUUAUCUUCACUCACACGUAUCACCUCCGAUCACAUCCCAUUAGUCAUCCAAGUCCAAACCACUGUCCCUCGUCCCCGCCUUUUUUGA